rnacentral:lncRNA from 1 species
GUUGUCGUUUGUUUAUGUGUUACAUAUUUGUUUUUCGUUCAUUUUUUUAAAUAAAUAAGGCCGUUAGUUUUCUCGUUUGAAUUGUUUUACAUUGUCUUAUCAGGGCCUUUUAUAGCUGACUAUGUGGUAUGGGCUUUCCUCAUUGUUGAAGGCCGUACGGUUACCUAAAAUUGUUAAUGUUUGUGUCAUUUUGGUCUUUUGUGGAUAGUUGUCUCAUUGGCAAUCAUAC